UGGGGAAUAUUGCACAAUGGGCGCAAGCCUGAUGCAGCAACGCCGCGUGAGGGACGACGGCCUUCGGGUUGUAAACCUCUUUUGGCAGGGAAGAAGCGAAAGUGACGGUACCUGCAGAAAAAGCACCGGCUAACUACGUGCCAGCAGCCGCGGUGAUACGUAGGGUGCAAGCGUUGUCCGGAAUUAUUGGGCGUAAAGAGCUCGUAGGCGGUUUGUCGCGUCUGCUGUGAAAACCCGAGGCUCAACCUCGGGCCUGCAGUGGGUACGGGCAAACUAGAGUGCGGUAGGGGAGAUUGGAAUUCCUGGUGUAGCGGUGGAAUGUGCAGAUAUCAGGAGGAACACCGAUGGCGAAGGCAGAUCUCUGGGCCGUAACUGACGCUGAGGAGCGAAAGCAUGGGGAGCGAACA
rnacentral:rRNA from 1 species